AGCGCAGACGGCGAAGUAAGUCUGAAGUGAAAUGCAUGGGCUCAACCCAUGAAUUGCUUUGGAAACUGUUUGGCUUGAGUGUCGGAGGGGUAAGCGGAAUUCCUAGUGUAGCGGUGAAAUGCGUAGAUAUUAGGAGGAACACCGGAGGCGAAGGCGGCUUACUGGACGACAACUGACGUUGAGGCUCGAAGGCGUGGGGAGCAAACA
rnacentral:rRNA from 1 species